rnacentral:snRNA from 1 species
AUGCCUUUCUCGGCCUUUUGGCUAAGAUCAAGUGUAGUAUCUGUUCUUAUCAGUUUAAUAUCUGAUACGUGCUUCAUAGAACCGCAUGAUAUUAAAUGUAUUUUUUUAGGGGGAGCGUGUUUUUUAGGGGGAGGGUCUACUUACAGUAGCUUGCUACUGGGGCUUUCGAGCGUUGCCUGUGCGUUGCACUAUAGCGCAAACCAGGCGCACCCCAA